ACGGAGGGUGCAAGCGUUGUCCGGAUUUAUUGGGUUUAAAGGGUGCGUAGGCGGCUUAUUAAGUCAGGGGUGAAAGACUGCAGCUCAACUGUAGCAGUGCCUUUGAUACUGAUGAGCUUGAGUACAGAUGAGGCUGGCGGAAUGGGUGGUGUAGCGGUGAAAUGCAUAGAUACCAUCCAGAACACCGAUUGCGAAGGCAGCCGGCUAAACUGUCACUGACGCUGAGGCACGAAAGCGUGGGGAUCGAACAGGA
rnacentral:rRNA from 1 species